rnacentral:rRNA from 1 species
AAGCCCGGGGCUCAACCUCGGAACCGCAUUUGAAACUGGCAGGCUAGAGUCUUGUAGAGGGGGGUAGAAUUUCAGGUGUAGCGGUGAAAUGCGUAGAGAUCUGAAGGAAUACCAGUGGCGAAGGCGGCCCCCUGGACAAAGACUGACGCUCAGAUGCGAAAGCGUGGGUAGCAAACAGGAUUAGAUACCCUGGUAGUCCACGCCGUAAACGCUGUCUACUUGGAGGUUGAGGUUUAGACUUUGGCUUUCGGCGCUAACGCAUUAAGUAGACCGCCUGGGGAGUACGGCCGCAAGGUUAAAACUCAAAUGAAUUGACGGGGGCCCGCACAAGCGGUGGAGCAUGUGGUUUAAUUCGAUGCAACGCGAAGAACCUUACCUACUCUUGACAUCCAGUGAAGCCUUUAGAGAUAGAGGCGUGCCUUCGGGAGCGCUGAGACAGGUGCUGCAUGGCUGUCGUCAGCUCGUGUUGUGAAAUGUUGGGUUAAGUCCCGCAACGAGCGCAACCCUUAUCCUUGUUUGCCAGCACGUAAUGGUGGGAACUCCAGGGAGACUGCCGGUGAUAAACCGGAGGAAGGUGGGGACGACGUCAAGUCAUCAUGGCCCUUACGAGUAGGGCUACACACGUGCUACAAUGGCAGAUACAGAGGGCAGCGAGACAGCGAUGUUUAGCGAAUCCCUUAAAGUUUGUCGUAGUCCGGAUUGGAGUCUGCAACUCGACUCC